rnacentral:rRNA from 1 species
UGCGUAGGCGGUCUAUUAAGUCAGUGGUUAAAGACUGCGGCUCAACCGUAGCACGCCAUUGAUACUGGCAGACUUGAGUGCGACAGAGGAGACUGGAAUGUGUGGUGUAGCGGUGAAAUGCAUAGAUAUCACACAGAACACCAAUUGCGAAGGCAGGUCCCUAUGCCGUAACUGACGCUAAGGCACGAAAGCGUGGGUAGCGAACAGGAUUAGAUACCCUGGUAGUCC